UCUAGUAGCUGGUUCCCUCCGAAGUUUCCCUCAGGAUAGCUGGUGCAUUAUAAUAUUAUGUUAAAUAAUCUUAUCUGGUAAAGCGAAUGAUUAGAGGCCUUAGGGUCGAAACGAUCUUAACCUAUUCUCAAACUUUAAAUGGGUAAGAACCUCACCUUUCUUGAUAUGAAGGUUGAGGUUAUGAUAUAAUGUGCCCAGUGGGCCACUUUUGGUAAGCAGAACUGGCGCUGUGGGAUGAACCAAACGUAAUGUUACGGUGCCUAAAUUAACAACUCAUGCAGAUACCAUGAAAGGCGUUGGUUGCUUAAAACAGCAGGACGGUGGACAUGGAAGUCGUAAUCCGCUAAGGAGUGUGUAACAACUCACCUGCCGAAGCAACUAGCCCUUAAAAUGGAUGGCGCUUAAGUUGUAUACCUAUACAUUACCGCUAAAGUAAAUGAUUUAUAAUACAAUUUCGAUUGAAUUAUAAAUUUUGAAACUUUAGUGAGUAGGAGGGUACAAUGGUGUGCUUAGAAGUGUUUGGCGUAAGCCUGCAUGGAGCCGCUAUUGGUACAGAUCUUGGUGGUAGUAGCAAAUAAUCGAAUGAGACCUUGGAGGACUGAAGUGGAGAAGGGUUUCGUGUGAACAGUGGUUGAUCACGAGUUAGUCGGUCCUAAGUUCAAGGCGAAAGCCGAAAAUUUUCAAGUUUUAAUGC
rnacentral:rRNA from 1 species